AUUCGUCCUGUUGUGGGCUCAGGGCCCCAGGAGUCACUUAGCCCUUCCUCUUUCAAUUCUUGGCGCAGAGGAUGAGAAGAUGACAAGAAGUGGGCGUUUCUUAAACUCUGCACCCAGGCCUGCUGCUUCCUGGACCAACUCUUCCAUGGCCCUGGGUGUCACCCAGUGUUUCUGGAGCCUCUGAGUGGUGCCCGCUGCCUGGCAGCAGCCCCUGGAGGUACCUCGUAGAAGAGGAAUCACACAGGCCGGGCACAGUGACCACACCCAUAAUCCCAGCACUUUGGGAGGCCGAGGUAGGUGGAUCACCUGAGGUCAGGAGUUCGAGACCAGCCUGGCCAACAUGGCGAAACCCCAUCUCUACUAAAAAGACAAAAAAAAAUUUAGCUGGACAUAGUGGCGCACGUCUAUAAUCCCAGCUACUCGGGUGGCUGAGGCAUAGAAUCGCUUGACCUAGGAGGCGGAGGUUGCAGUGAGCUGAGAUCAUGCCACUGCACUCCAGCCUGGGUAAUAGAGCAAGACUCCAUCUCAAAAAACAAACAAAAAAAAAAGGAAGUGGAAUUACACGAAUGUCUUUUUGUGACUGACUGAUUUCACUAGCAUAAGGUCCUUGAGGUUCAUCCUUGUCGCAUAUGGCAGGAUUUCCUCCCUUUUUAAGGCUGAACAAUAUUCCGUUGUAUGUAUGUACCACAUUUUCUUUAUCCAUUCAUCUGUCCAUGAGCAUUGAGGUGACUUCCAUCUCUUGGCUAUUGUGAAUAAUGCUGCUAUGAACACGGGGUUCCAGGCAUCUCUUUGAGACCUUGCUGUUAAUUAUUUUGAAUAUAUAUGCCCAGAAUUGGGAUUGCUGGGUCAUGUGGUAAUUCUAUUUUUAGUUUUUUGAGGAACCACUCUACUGUUUUCUAUAUCAGCCACACCAUUCUACAAUCCCACCCACAGCGCACAAGGGUUCCAAUUUCCCCACAUCCUCGCCAACACUUGCUAUUUUGUUUCUUGGAUAGUAGCCAUCCUCAUGGGUGUGAAGUACUAGCUCAUUAUGAACUUGAUUUGCAUUUCUCUAAUGAUGAAUGGUGCUGAGCAUCUUUUCAUGUGCUUGUCGGCUGUUUGUAAAUCAUCUUUGGAGAAAUAAUGAAAGGACCUGGUAGGGGAUGAUGAUGCACCAGAGACUAGUGAAAGCAGCACGUUGUAACCACCUCUAGCUCUGUGGGCCAGAGGAGAGCACUGGGUACCAGAAUCACAGAUCAGGAGCUGUGGAAGGCGCUGCCCGACAGGAUGGGGGACCCUGGGAGAGGGAUGCAGCCACAUCCAAACUGUGGCCCAGAAGAGGGAGUGGGAAAAGUCCUCGACCUCUCUGUCUUCCUGCUGUCUUCCAAUAUCCUACCUGGGUGAGGUCAGCCUCCUGGGGAUCAGAGCAGGGCAGGGAGGGGUGAGAAUGAAUCCACUGGUGGUGGGGGCAAGGGGCAAAUAGAAUCACCCAAAAAAGAGGUAUAUGUUGCUGACUCCAUUUUACAGUCGGGGAAACUGAGAGUCAUGUUUGGCACAGUUUAGAGGGACUUGGACCAAGAUUUGGACUUUGCUCUAGGUGAUGCCAGCCUGAUUAUUCUAACCUGUAAGCUACACCACCUUCUGGCAGUGGGCAGUGCCCAAUGGGGGAGGGUGCGGGGGCAGUGCCCUUCCCGCCAGAUGCCACCCCUCCCUUGAGCUUGGUCGAGGGUGAUCUGCCUUCUCCUUCCUUCCUCUUCCAUUUAGAAAGCAACGGGUCUGAAAGGUAAUUCUGUUCUUGAUGAGGGUGCAGGCAGCAGAGGGAAUUGUCAUCCUGCUGAAGACACACAGCUCUUCCAUGCUCUACCCUAUGUGUAAUUUGUUCUUAUCUGCUCCUGGAGCCACCACCUGCUACAGUGUAAAGAGACCCCACAGACUCUCUGGAUCAAACUACUCACUGUCCAGAAGGAGAAAAUGAGGUCCUAUGUCUGUGGCUAGAACCCAGGCCUCUGGGGAGCAACCCAGGGCUCCAUCCAGGGUGACCUGAGCCUGCUCUGCUCAUCAGAGCCAGUCUUUACCACCCUUCAUAUCCCGGGAGCCCACAGGUAGAAAGAUGGGCAUUGCAGGUCACCGUGGUUCCCCCACUGAAGCAAGUUCCCUGGCUCGCGAUUAGCCAGUGCUCUGCUGGUUCAUGAUGCGCUCCAAAUGCUAGACCAAGAAAGAAACUGGGUCGGUGGGCAGGACACAGGACCAGCGCUCUGGGAGGAGAGCUGUUCUCAAGCAGUUUGGUGGCAUCAGAGCCUCUGUGUGGUCAGUCAAGCAGGGCAGCCAAUUUCCUCUCCUUUCAGCCCUAACUCUGGACUCCUGUACCUGGAGGGGCUCCCUUUGUGCUCCUGCAGCCCAGAAGCCCUCCGAGGCUUGACAUGAAAGAGUCGCGGGAUCUUGGACUGUUCCGGUGGAAGGGCUCCUAGCAAAACCCAGAUGUUUUCUCUUCUUGUAUGGAUGGGAGGACCGAAGUCCAGAGAAGUGGAAUAACUUGCCCAGGGUUGUGCUGAGAUUUGUGAAGGUGCCGGAUGCUGGUGUGCUGGUGGCUGGCAUGCUCUGAGCCCUUCCUUCCCGCUGUUUCCCUGGAGUUCUGCUUGGCAACCACCCGCCUGCAUUUUUGCAAAGUGAUGUCAUCUGCAGAUAAUGGUUUUUCCGUUCCUGGUGGAGCAGGAGUUCCAGAUACAGUGCUUCGGGGGAGGGGCUCAAGAGAGCUGAUUGUGCACUCCUCAGGCAAGUGGGGGCUGCAUAGACCCCCUCCCCUCUGACAGUCACAUCUCAGUUGUAAGGCAAGGCACCGUCUCAGGCUUCCUGGACUCCGGAACCUGGAAUGACCAAAAUGGCAGAGGCCCCAGAGACAAGCCUCCCCUGCCUCCUCCUUGUAGAGUUGGGAAUCUGAGGCCCAGAGAGGGCAGAGCCUUGCCCAAGCUCACACAGCAUUUACAGGCAAAACCUUGACUCACAUCCCGACUCCUAACAUCUGUGGCCACUUGCCCGUGGUUGGGGGUUUUUCACCCUCAACACCGUUGACAUUUUGGGCCAAGGAGUUUUGUUGUGGGGGCAGUCCCUUUCAUGGCAGGAUGUUUGGCAGCAUCCCUGGCCUCGACCUCCUACAGGCCAGUAGCACCCCUCUCCAGUUCUCAAAUCCAGACACUGCCAAAUGUCUUUCACCUAAGUUGGGGUGGGAGAAAGUAACCCUCCAGCUCCUAAGACCUUUAUCCACUGCCAUAGGCAGGAGAGGUUUCUUGAGUCCAAGCCCAAAGGGUGCUUUGUCUGAGGCUCUGACUUAACGUCAGGCACCUUCAGGAUGGGAGGCAGGCCUGGAGGGGGCUAUGAGGGGCUGGAGAUGGUCCAGGCCCUCCUUCUGGUUAGGAACACUGCUUCCUCUGAUCACUUUUCUUGGAGCAAAACUGCCGAUUUAUUUUCCUGGGGAAAUAAAAAUAAAUGCUGGCUGUUGUAAUCUCAUCCCUGAUCCCAUCUGGAAAAAGCAGGCUCAUGAAUCUUGGCCGCCUGAGCUCUGAGGACUGUGUCUGGCGGAACCUGGAGUUACAAUGGGCCUUCGAACAUCGGAACAGUCACGGCUGACAUUUCCUUUCCCGUUACAUGGCUCCUUGGAAUGUGAGCCCCAGGGGGCCGUCCGUGGGCAGGCGGAAUUUGGUGGAAAGAAGUGCUGCACGGGCCGGAGGCCAGCUCAGCUUCUGACUUGCUGUGUGACUUUGGGCCACUUUUCUGUUCGUUUCUGGGCCUUGAUUUCUCCAUCUGCAGAAUGAGGGGAGCCACGUUCCUCAACAAGGGGUCCAUGGACCACCUUGUAUCAGAACCAUUUAGGGAAUGUGUUUAUGGCUAUUCCUGAUAUUUCUGAUUCCUCUUCCAGACCUCCUAAAGUUUUUAUGCAUCUCUAAGUGAUUUCGAUAUAUAUAAGUUUUGGGACCCACAACACCAAGGACUUUGAACUUUCCACCCAGUUUCAAGUUUGAACACAUCACAGUUCUUCAGCCUCCUUCCCCCUCAUAACGAAGUGUAGAGUUAUGAAGCUAGAGGGUAAAAUUAUGGGGUGGGCUGGAACUGGGCAUUGCUCCUAACAAUUAUCUGCUUUCAAACUCUUGGCAGGGUCUCUGGGGUCCUUGAUCCAACUGAAAUCACUGUUAAAGCACUUUAUUCCUCCAGUAAUGAAACUCGAGCUGCUAGUUACAGAGUUUGGUUUCAAAAUUGUGCCAUUUAUUAUUUUUGUUGGAUUGGCUUAUAAACCCUCAUAUAGUCAUACAUCAUUUAUAAUGCAUUAUUCCAUGAGAAUGCAUUUUCCAGAUGAGAUUUAUUUUUUCUGUUAAAAACUUAAAACUGUUCUUUUUUUUUUUUUAAAUGGCAGUCUUUCGCCAUGUGUUACCUAUUUAUACCACCUUAAGUGAAGGUCAGGAAAUGCAAUUUUACUUAUUCUCAAUGCUCCAGGGUUGUCAUUGUGAGUUUUAACUACUGUAUGCAUUGAUGUAAAUUUUAGGGACUCCAAAACUCACUGUGCCUGAACUAUGAAUGUCCCCCAAGCUGCUUAGCCCUUGUGUCUGCUUUUAAAAGUUCUGCUUUGCUUCUAUAUUUUUAAAGAUUUCUUCCUCAUGAGAUAUCAGCAGUUACUUCUCACCACGUUAUCAUGACUCCUUUGGAUGAAAAACCAAUAACCAGUGUGUAUCAGGAUUGUCUGUAGUGUAAGAGUUCAUAAUCAAUGAAUGAGAGGACUCUCUGAUGAGUCAGGGAUGUGGAUUUUUGACAUUUGUUUUGGCAGCUGAGAAUAAGGGGUAGUUUUUUUCUUUCUAAUUUUCACCCCAAUAGCAGCUGCUUUCUGAGAGUUUUCUAGAUAAAUGUGAAAUGAGUGUAGAUCGAUUUUUCCAUGUAACUAAUUUACAUUCUGGGUGAACUCAUUUUGCUUCUGACUUAGAGGUGCUUUCAUUUCCUUCUCAUCUGCACCCUGUUCUUGGAGAAGCUGCUCCACCCCUAGCCCAUGAUACAUGAUGCAUGACCCAGCCCACUGGGCCCCCUGAUGCCACCUGGGCCAAUCAGAUUUUCCAGUCAGGAAAUUUGCAAUUGAGAUUCAGAGCUGGAAAGAGUCACCUGCUCUGAUGGGAGCUGCAUUUGUGGACUGUGACUCAGAGGCUGAGGCCCCAGGGAGCCGACCCCAUGGGCCCUGGGCAAGCCCAGAGUGAAUGUGGAAGCCGGGCUGUGGAGGUUCCCUGAGCAGACAGUCCGGGUGGUCACGGUGUCUACAAUUCCAUCACCAGAUCUUCCAUUUCCAGGAGUAACCCUGGGCAGGAGGGAAGGACCGGAUGUACUCUGCAAUCCCAGAAAACUCAAUGGGCUGAGGCAGGAGGACCUACUGGCCAUUGAAGACUGUCCACUCCUGGUCCAGAUUCCAAGUGACCAGGCAGAAAGAGCAUGGACUUUGGAGUUUGAUUGCCUGGCUUUAAAUCCCCCUGCUCCACUCGCUACUGUGGUGUGGACUCAAAUUCAACAAAUAUUCAUGCUGGAAUGGGAUGCAGAAGUCACCUACUUUCAGAGAUGGGGAAACUGAGACCCAGAGAGGGCACAGCCUUUUCUCGGGGGCCUCCAGUGACUCAGAGUCAAAUCUGUGCUUCUUGGCUCCUGGAUCUCUGAGCUGCACCCACUGGACCCCUAUGCCAACCCCAGCACCCCUGUUCUCCAUGGCGGCCCCGCCCUGAGGAUUUCCUAUGCCUUUCUACAGAGCUUUCUCCUUCUCCUAGAUCCCUUUUCUGCAAAACGAGGCUGGGGAGUUCUGAGCCAAGCCCAGGCCCACGUGCCUGGAACCAGAGACAGCGUAAGGAGCAGACACUGCCAGGUCACUUGCAGCAGACUCCAGGAGGAAAUGAGGGAAACAGAACCUCAGCCGUAGCCUAGCCAGGGCUCUCAGAGCCUAGAAAGCUCUUAGGAGAAGUGGAGAGUUGUUCAGAUCCAGGCUAAUUUGUCAUCUCCAGCCCUUCUCUGGUGAUCAGCUUGCCUCUUCCUCUACCUGCCCCUAUAGGUAGAGGAAGCUUGCCCUUCCUCUCCUGCAUCUUCUCCUCCCCUUUCUGUCACAUGCCUUCUGCUUCUUGAGGCCUCUGCCUCAUUGUAGUUUCUCUUGCUGUCCAGUUCCGGUGAGCUCAUGGCUUCUGUAGCCCAGUUUCUCUUUGCUUCCCUUUGUGAAUCUUUCCUGCUUCGACUCUCACUCCCAACUUCUUAACUUACACUCAAUGCUCCCAGAGGGAGGACUUGAUUGGUUUGGAAGUCCCCCACCAGGACAGGCCAAGGAUUAAGUGAGUUCUUAUAUGAGGUCUCUGAUUCCCUAACUCCAGCUAGGUGUUCAAUUAUUCAGUUCAAUUCUGACACCAACUCCAGGAGUUAGUGCAGACCCCAAGGUUUAGGGCUCAGCCCCACAGGGCUGUCCCCCUUUAGCCACCAGUCACACACAAGUCCAGGGACCAUCUGUACAUCUGACUGCCUGGCUCUGAAUUUCAGGGUUCCCAUAACCUCCCCUUCUAGUUAGAUCAUUCACUAGAACAAUUCACAAAACUCAGCAAGUGCUUUACUUACUAUUACCAGUGGAUUAUAAAGGAUACUACUCAAGAACAGACUCAUGGAAGAGAUGCAGGGAACAAAACAUGGGGGAUUUGCACAAAGCUUCCACGCCCUCCCAGCGAGUCCCUGUGUUCACCAGCCCUGAAGCUCCCAAACCCUGUUGUUUAGGGGUUUUUCUUGCAGUUUCAUUAUGAUGGAUUAAAUCAUUGGCCAUUGGCGAUUGAAUUCAAUCUCCAGCCCAUCUUACCCCCAUGGAGGCUGUAGGGGGUGUGGGGGUAACCAGCCCUCAUCAUGAAGCUCUCUAGGGCUCCUCCAUAAGUCAUCUCAUUAGCAUAUGAAAGGCAAUACGUUCAGGGGUUUUAGGAGCUCUGUGCCAGGAAUUAGAGACCAAGACCAAAUAUUUAUAUUUUAUACCACACCAGGCCACUUCUCAGCCCACUGGCCAACUUCAAGAUUGACUGCUGUUAGGUCACAAUACCCACUUGGCCAGGGGUAGAGAUCACUCAGUAUCAUGUGUGGUGUAAGCUGUUGAGAUUAGGCAUAGACAGUGGCAGGUGACUGACGGGCUGGACAACUGACAGAUGCUCACCUUGGCCAGUGUAGGCACAGAUAGGGCAGGACCCCAUUUGUUUAAGUGUUCCAUCCUCAGAAAUCCCCUCUCCCCCACUUCUUCCUUCUCUUCAUUCCUUCUUUGCUAUUUUUAAAUGGCACAUUGGAAAUAAAACAAUUGUCAAUGUAUUCAGCCCUCCCGCAGCGGGCUGCCAAUCAGCACAGUCCAGCCUACCUCCGCUUCCAUUCCCUCCACCUUAGCCCUCACCUCCCUCUUUGCUCUUGCCCCCGUCUCCGGGCACUCAGGUCUCUGUUAGUUUCUCAACAGCUUUGCAUAUGCUGUUCCCUCUAUUUGGAAUGCUCUUCCCCAUCUCCCACCCCUGGCUGGCUUUUCCUGGCCACCCACUCUGAAUGAUGCGCUCCUCUUACAUAUGUGCCCUGUGUGUUUCUUUACUGAUACUUGUCAGCCUGCUGAUCGACUUAUUUGCACAAACAUUUAAUAAAUCACUGGACCGUCUGCUGUAGGCGGGCAGAGAUCAGAUCUGUUUUGUCUUGCUCAGUACUGUGCAAUAACACCUAGAACAGGCCUGGCUUGGUAGAUAGCUAUUGAAUAAGUGAGUGAAUGGAUGAAUGUCAUUGAAUCAGAGAUGAUUAUGAUUCACAAAGGCUUAUAUGUAUGAGUGAAUUUGAAAAAAUAGAAACAACUUGAAUAUUCAAUAAUAGCCAAUUAAAAAUAUAGUAACCUACAAUGGAAUUUGCAUGGCA
rnacentral:lncRNA from 10 species